rnacentral:rRNA from 1 species
CGGAGGGUGCGAGCGUUGUUCGGAAUUACUGGGCGUAAAGCGCGCGCAGGUGGGUGCGCAAGUCGGAGGUGAAAGCGCAGGGCUCAACCCUGCGACGCCCUCCGAGACUGCGUGUCUAGGGACCGGUAGAGGUGAGUGGAAUUCCCGGUGUAGCGGUGGAAUGCGUAGAUAUCGGGAAGAACACCGGAGGCGAAGGCGGCUCACUGGGCCGGAUCCGACACUGAGGCGCGAAAGCGUGGGGAGCAAACAGGAUUAGAUACCCUGGUAGUCCACGCCGUAAACGAUGGGUGCUAGGUGUCGGGGGGAGCGACCCCCUCGGUGCCGCAGCUAACGCAUUAAGCACCCCGCCUGGGGAGUACGGCCGCAAGGCUG